rnacentral:rRNA from 1 species
GACGAACGUUGGCGGCGUGCUUAAUACAUGCGAGUCCACUGAAGCAGUGGUAGCAAUAUCGCUGUGGAGGUGGCGCACGGGUGAGUAACACGUAGGUAAUCUGCCUUCAGGUCUGGCAUAACUCCGGGAAACCGGGGCUAAUAGCAGAUGAUGCAGCGGCUCGACAUCGAGACAGUUGUUAAAGCUAUGGCGCCUGAAGAUGAGCCUGCGUCUGAUUAGCUAGUUGGCGGGGUAACGGCCCACCAAGGCAACGAUCAGUAGCUGGUCUGAGAGGAUGAUCAGCCACACUGGAACUGAGACACGGUCCAGACUCCUACGGGAGGCAGCAGUAAGGAAUAUUGCUCAAUGGGAGAAAUCCUGAAGCAGCGACGCCGCGUGAGGGACGAAGGGCUUUGGCUUGUAAACCUCUGUAGUGAGAGAAAAAAAUCCCAAUCUUUGGGACAUGAUGGUAUCUCAAAAGUAAGCCCCGGCUAACUACGUG